ACACAUUUGCUAGCUUGUUCAUAGUAGAUUAUUAUUAAACGAUUGAAUUCAAAUCCUUUUUUGGCGUCUUAAGGGGUUGGAGGCGUUGCCUUAAAUAGUGUUUAGUGUAACUCAUUUUGGCUUUCUUAUUGGCUACACCUUGACCUGAUUUGUUAGGGGUGCUGUUGGGGAUAGGCUUUGUUGAACUAUUCUUAAAACGGCGGUAUAUAGGCUAAUGGAAGAAAGCGAGAUUUAGCGGGGAUUGUCGAUUAUAAAACAAGUUCCUCUGAUCAGAGCUAAUGCCGCCAAACUACAUUGGUUUUUCUUGGGGAUACUACCUACGAGAGAGAAU
rnacentral:rRNA from 1 species